rnacentral:piRNA from 1 species
UUGCAGUAUAUACGAUAAAAAUUGUAGUAAU